GAUUUCAACUCUUUUGAAAUGUCACGAACGUCGAAACAAAUCUAUCAAAUGUGUCAAAAAUUGACAUGCCAGGUUUGCGAUUUAAUUUCAUUUUAAAUAGACACGAAAAGACGCCAGGCCAGAGCAUUAAGGGUUGCAGUGUUAUCGAGCAUUUCUGAACGCCACUGCAAUACAUUUCAGUUUCAAAAAUUGUAAAUUGUCAGAAAAACGUUUAAGGGCUUUGUCAUGAAUUACACCUUGGAAAGUCGAUUGGAGUUGAACAGAAUAAAUCAUCUGGUCUGUUUUGCAAAGAAGCAAUAAUUUUUCAAAUAAUGAAAUCCAAAAAGUACCCUGAAGGUAAAAAUUGUGAAAAAUCACGUAAUGGACAAUGGCAGAGCAAGUCUUAUCACAGUUAACGAACACUAUGAGUACCUAAUGAGUUUUUGCAGUAAAUAAUUUUGCCAAAGUUGUGAUCCCGCGAAAGUUCUGUUUGUAAAUUGUAAGGAAUCGUCAAAAUAUUGGUGCAGACAUGGUUUGUGACCGGUGCUUUUCUCUUGAAAAAACACAACUGAAAGCCUUGAUCUUCAUCCCUACAAUAGGUGAAAACUGCUAUGUCCAAACAUUACCUUCAGCUUUGCAGUUUCUAGAUAUCUGAAACAUGCCAGAUCUGCAUAACAGGAAUGUCAAAGAGGUUCUACCCAAAACACGCCCACAUGGCCAUCCUAAUAUCAAGAUUUUUCAAAAUUUCUAUAACAAAAAAGAUGAAAAAACCAAUAAAAUUUCAGGAGCAUAGUGUUAAGAGUUCUGUAGAUGAUUAUGAGAUCUCUUGAAACAACAGAAUGUUUAAUAAAGAUUUUUAACUUUCCUAAUAGUAAAAUUACAAUUAUUACUAAACAGUAAGUUGAAGUAAGUUUUAAAUUAAGAGAAUGCAACUAACACCGAAAGAAAAAUGAAAGUUACUGAAAAUAAAAAACUUUAUUGCAGUACCUACAUACACUUUCUACAUCUAAUUUUGUUUAUCAAUAGAUCACAUUCAUUUACUUGAAAAAGUAUCAGGCCUAUGAAUCGUCGUCUGGAAACAGCUAACCACACACCAACCUUCAUUGCGUGUGAUGGUGUUUCUUCAAAAGCGUGAGUAUUUUCUAUACACCAAAUUCUGAAGUUCUGUCAGUUGACAUAAUAGCCUAACAGAUGAAACCAGGCUUCAUCAGAAAAGAACGACAAAUCGAGAAUCCCGUUAUCGUCCAUAUCAGCUUGAAACCAACUACAAUACCCAACGCGGCAAGGAAAAUCAGCUGGUUGCAGCUCCUGAACCAACAAAAUCUUGUAUGGAUGCAUAUGUAACUUCUCUUUUACGAUUUUCUGACAUGGGCUGUAUGGUACUCCGGACAGUAAAGAUUUUUGACAAA